rnacentral:rRNA from 1 species
CCUACGGGUGGCAGCAGUGAGGAAUAUUGGUCAAUGGGCGAGAGCCUGAACCAGCCAAGUCGCGUGAAGGAUGACGGCCCUACGGGUUGUAAACUUCUUUUGUCAGGGAGCAAAAGACGCCACGCGUGGCGUUCCGAGAGUACCCGAAGAAAAAGCAUCGGCUAACUCCGUGCCAGCAGCCGCGGUAAUACGGAGGAUGCGAGCGUUAUCCGGAUUUAUUGGGUUUAAAGGGUGCGCAGGCGGAAGAUCAAGUCAGCGGUAAAAUUGAGAGGCUCAACCUCUUCGAGCCGUUGAAACUGGUGUUCUUGAGUGAGUGAGAAGUAUGCGGAAUGCGUGGUGUAGCGGUGAAAUGCAUAGAUAUCACGCAGAACUCCGAUUGCGAAGGCAGCAUACCGGCGCUCAACUGACGCUCAUGCACGAAAGUGUGGGUAUCGAACAGGAUUAGAUACCCUAGUAGUC